rnacentral:rRNA from 1 species
CCUACGGGCGGCUGCAGUGAGGAAUAUUGGUCAAUGGCCGUAAGCCUGAACCAGCCAAGUAGCGUGAGGGAAGACGGCCCUAUGGGUUGUAAACCUCUUUUAUGCGGGGAUAAAGGUGUCCACGUGUGGAUGUUUGCAGGUACCGCAUGAAUAAGGACCGGCUAAUUCCGUGACAGCAGCCGCGGUAAUACGGAAGGUCCGGGCGUUAUCCGGAUUUAUUGGGUUUAAAGGGAGCGUAGGCCGGUCUUUAAGCCUGCGGUGAAAUUUUGUGGCUCAACCAUGAGAUUGCGGCGGAAACUGGAGACCUUGAGUGCGCGGAAGGCAGGCGGAAUUCGUGGUGUAGCGGUGAAAUGCUUAGAUAUCACGAAGAACCCCGAUUGCGAAGGCAGCCUGCCGCAGCGUGACUGACGCUGAAGCUCGAAAGCGCGGGUAUCGAACAGGAUUAGAUACCCGGGUAGUC